GGCCUGAUAACACAAUGGGUAGUGUGCCUGCGUACUAUACAGUGCAUCCGCGGUAUAACUACGGCAGGACGUCCCCGUUCGAUUCGGGGUCAGGUCA